GACGAACGCUGGCGGCGUGCCUAACACAUGCAAGUCGAGCGAAUGAAGUUCCUUCGGGAACGGAUUUAGCGGCGGACGGGUGAGUAACACGUGGGCAACCUGCCUCAUAGAGGGGAAUAGCCUUCCGAAAGGGAGAUUAAUACCGCAUAAGAUUGUAGUACCGCAUGGUACAGUAAUUAAAGGAGUAAUCCGCUAUGAGAUGGGCCCGCGGCGCAUUAGCUAGUUGGUGAGGUAACGGCUCACCAAGGCGACGAUGCGUAGCCGACCUGAGAGGGUGAUCGGCCACAUUGGGACUGAGACACGGCCCAGACUCCUACGGGAGGCAGCAGUGGGGAAUAUUGCACAAUGGGGGAAACCUUGAUGCAGCAACGCCGCGUGAGUGAUGACGGCCUUCGGGUUGUAAAGCUCUGUCUUCAGGGACGAUAAUGACGGUACCUGAGGAGGAAGCCACGGCUAACUACGUGCCAGCCGCCGCUGUAACAC
rnacentral:rRNA from 1 species